rnacentral:rRNA from 1 species
AGAGUUUGAUCCUGGCUCAGAACGAACGCUGGCGGCGUGCUUAACACAUGCAAGUCGAACGCGAAAGGGACUUCGGUCCUGAGUAGAGUGGCGCACGGGUGAGUAACGCGUAGAUAACCUGCCUACAUGACCGGGACAACACCGGGAAACUGGUGCUAAUACCGGAUACGCUCUUGAUGGCACAUGCUAUUAAGAGGAAAGGAGCAAUCCGCAGGUAGAUGGGUCCGCGUCCCAUUAGCUAGUUGGCGGUGUAAAAGACCACCAAGGCGACGAUGGGUAGCCGGCCUGAGAGGGUGGACGGCCACACUGGAACUGAGACACGGUCCAGACUCCUACGGGAGGCAGCAGUGGGGAAUUUUACACAAUGGGGGAAACCCUGAUGUAGCAACGCCGCGUGGAGGAUGAAUGAUUUCGGUCUGUAAACUCCUUUUCUACAAGAAGAUUAUGACGGUAUUGUAGGAAUAAGCACCGGCUAACUCCGUGCCAGCAGCCGCGGUAAUACGGAGGGUGCAAGCGUUACUCGGAAUCACUGGGCGUAAAGCGAGCGUAGGCGGUCCAUUAAGUCUCGUGUGAAAUCCAUCGGCUUAACCGAUGAACUGCAUGGGAAACUGGCGGACUAGAGUAUGGGAGAGGUAGAUGGAAUUCCCGGUGUAGGGGUAAAAUCCGUAGAGAUCGGGAGGAAUACCCAUAGCGAAGGCGAUCUGCUGGAACUUUACUGACGCUGAGGCUCGAAAGCGUGGGUAGCAAACAGGAUUAGAUACCCUGGUAGUC